rnacentral:lncRNA from 1 species
CAAAUAUAAAGAAGUACAAGUCAUUUUCCGAGCGUCUUUGGAGCAAACAUAACAGAUAUUUUGAACUUAAAGUUUUAACCGAAAAUGCCAGGAUCAGGCUCUAUGCUUACAAUAAUAUUGCUGACAUCAGUUGCUGUUUUGCAACUUUCCGAAGCCGGUUGUCCAGGUAAUCAUACUCGUACGCCUUGUGACGAAGGAAAUCCAUGCAGAUCAGGCUGGGCAUGCUUGGGACCUGACGGUAACCAGACUUGCUACAAAUGUAAGUAGACGGAUCCUUUUGUUUUUU